UGGUUGAGCUUACACCCUUCAGAAAAUUCGAAAGAAUGAGGAAAUUUUGCAAUUGGAGAUUAGAAGGAUUGUUCUAAACUAAUGGAUGAAGCAAUGUGUUCUUUUAGCGGACUUUUAUAUGUUUGCAUAUUUUUUGCUCUUCAAAAUGAAGCUUGUAAUGUAUCAGAAAUUUUUAGCGGACUUAAGUUUCAUAUAUUUCAGAUUCUCAUUGGAAAUAUAUACAGUUUUCUUGUGGAA